rnacentral:lncRNA from 1 species
CCCUUUCCUUUCUUAGGGAGUAAAUGGUUGAAUCCAUUAAGUUUAAUCCUGGAUCCGCCUCUCCGUCUCUGAAAGAACAUGUUCAUGUUACCUGCAAAAUAGUUUUUCUUAAAAAGGAUUUUUCCUCCUAUGAAUAGAAUCUAUCAAUAGCUUUUCUUAGUUGCUACUGGUCUGGCUUCUUUCCUUCUGCCAUAUUCUUCAAUCAGUGAAAAAUAGAGUUUUGGUCUUACCGUCCAGUCCUAGCACUAUGAUCAUUCUGGAUGUCCAAUUGAAAAGAGAAAGUAUGACCAUUCCAAUCAAUCAUGUCUCUUUAUGUUGUCAUUAUUAACUCAUGAAUGAAUUUGUUACAGCAGUUGCUCAAGUGUGUGAAAUGUAGGCAGCACCAACUAGUUGGGACUAGAGCUUAGUCGUGCUGGUACAUUUACAUCAGGCUGAUUUUUUCAAGGAGUCUUUUAGAUUGUUUAUUAGAAAGUUGCAUGUCGGUAGAAAAUAAGAAACUUUAGUCGUUAGAGAACCCAACUUUGUUUCAAAACACAACUUAUUUAGGAAUGGGAUGAAGUCCAAAUGGAGUGGCAGGGACAUGGAAUUCAUAUAGCCAACCAAAUAGUUUGCAAUUGAGUCGUUGUUAUUGUCUAAAUGCUGGAAUGAUGAUGCAUCUGGUUUACUGCUUUUGAGCUGCUUCCACUGAAGCAAGCUAAAGUUGGAAAAUUUUGAGUGCAUAAUUUUCUCCUUUAAUAUGUCAUGCUUGAUGGAUUAGUUCUCAAUUGGGUUCUGCUGGACUAGCUCUUAUUGGCUUCUAUCAACUACUUGGGCUAUGACCAGAUCAUUUUUACACGGAAUGGAGGAAUCCUUCUUCCUUUCGACAUUUAUGAUGGCACUUCUAUGGUCAAAUAGACGGGAAUUAGAGGUGUUAUUCUAGUAGAGUUUACCUUGGCGAUAUCUUUGUUAUCAGUUAUUCAGUUCAUCCUAUAUAAAAAAUUUAAAAAGAAGCAGAAGAAAAAGUUAUCAUGUUUGAUGCUCUUUUUUGGGCUUUAUAAUCCGAGAGAAAGAAACAGGAACAUGAGAUCUCUUUAUCAUGAGAAUAUCAUCUCAGUUGUGCCUUUGGUUUAGGAUCUUAUAUAUCUAGAUUUGGUAGCUCGCAUCUCUUAUGUUGUAUUGCAACUUACUUUGCAGAAAAGUUCAACCCCCAUUGUCAAUCAAAGAUCAAGAAGAGAAGGCGAAGAGGAGUGAGUUUGUUCAAGGAUUGCUAUUGUCCACCAUUCUGGAUGAUAAUUUAUGAAAGGUUGACAAGGCUGCCGGCCCCCCACGUUCACCAGCUUACUGAUAAAGCCGUGUGGUUAGUGGUCUGUCCUAGUGCGCAUGGUGGUAUUAUGUAAUCCAACCGUGGAAUAAGAUGUAGUAAUCCAUGUAAUUUAUCUUGUAGAAUUUAGUUGAUAUGCAGCGGAGUCAUGUAUCUCCUUUUUAUUGCAGUUCAUGCUACGAUAAAGAAUAUAAUAAACGUUUGAGUUAGUGCUGUACUGCAAUUUAUAUUUUUGGAAAUCAAUGUAAUAUAUACUUGUAUUCUAGAAACACUGGGAAGAAAGGUGAAGGUAAGCACGAACACGAAUAAAAUUGGAUAUUGAACAUCCUAGUAACUGGACGUAGAGGCAAAUGGAACUUCCUAGUUAUAAUUUGGUGCAGCAAUAGGUUGGUCA